GGACCCGCACAAGCGGUGGAGCAUGUGGUUUAAUUCGAAGCAACGCGAAGAACCUUACCAAGGCUUGACAUCCUUCUGACGUACUCGUAACGGAGUAUUUCCUUCGGGACAGAAGAGACAGGUGGUGCAUGGUUGUCGUCAGCUCGUGUCGUGAGAUGUUGGGUUAAGUCCCGCAACGAGCGCAACCCUUAUCUUUAGUAACCAGCACGUUAAGGUGGGGACUCUAGAGAGACUGCCAGGGUGAACCUGGAGGAAGGUGGGGAUGACGUCAAAUCAUCAUGCCCCUUAUGUCUUGGGCUACACACGUGCUACAAUGGCUGCGACAGAGGGAAGCGAAGGAGCAAUCUGGAGCAAAACCCAAAAAAGCAGUCCCAGUUCGGAUUGUAGUCUGCAACUCGACUACAUGAAGUUGGAAUCGCUAGUAAUCGCGAAUCAGAAUGUCGCGGUGAAUACGUUCCCGGGUCUU
rnacentral:rRNA from 1 species